GGCCUGAGAGGGUGAUCCCCCACACUGGUACUGAGACACGGACCAGACUCCUACGGGAGGCAGCAGUGAGGAAUAUUGGACAAUGGGUGCGAGCCUGAUCCAGCCAUCCCGCGUGAAGGACGACGGCCCUAUGGGUUGUAAACUUCUUUUGUAUAGGGAUAAACCUACUCUCGUGAGGGUAGCUGAAGGUACUAUACGAAUAAGCACCGGCUAACUCCGUGCCAGCAGCCGCGGUAAUACGGAGGGUGCAAGCGUUAUCCGGAUUUAUUGGGUUUAAAGGGUCCGUAGGCGGAUCUGUAAGUCAGUGGUGAAAUCUCACAGCUUAACUGUGAAACUGCCAUUGAUACUGCAGGU
rnacentral:rRNA from 2 species